UACGAAGGGUGCAAGCGUUACUCGGAAUUACUGGGCGUAAAGCGUGCGUAGGUGGUUUGUUAAGUCUGUUGUGAAAGCCCCGGGCUCAACCUGGGAAUGGCAAUGGAUACUGGCAAGCUAGAGUGCGGUAGAGGGUAGUGGAAUUCCCGGUGUAGCGGUGAAAUGCGUAGAUAUCUGGAAGAACACCGGUGGCGAAGGCGGCAUCCUGGACCACGACUGACGCUGAGUGAGCGAAAGCCAGGGGAGCAAACGGG
rnacentral:rRNA from 1 species